rnacentral:rRNA from 1 species
UACGGAGGGCGCAAGCGGUGUUCGGCAUUACUGGGCGUAAAGCGCGUGUAGGCGGCCAUUUAUGUCGGUGGUGAAAUCCCUGGGCUUAACCCAGGAACUGCGCCCGAAACUGGAUUGCUUGAGUACGAUAGGGGGGGAUGGAAUUCCCAGUGUAGAGGUGAAAUUCGUAGAUAUUGGGAAGAACACCGGUGGCGAAAGCUGUUCCCUGGAUCUGUCCUGACGGUACGGCACGAAAGCGUUGGUAUCAAACAGG